AGUGAAUAGAUACCGGGUAGUCCUAGCCGUAAACGAUACUCGCUAGGUGUCGGCCACGGUGCGACCGUUGUCGGUGCCGUAGGGAAAGCCGUGAAGCGAGCCACCUGGGAAGUACGGCCGCAAGGCUGAAACUUAAGGGAAUUGGCGGGGGAGCACCACAACGGGUGGAGCUUGCGGUUUAAUUGGAUUCAACGCCGGAAACCUUACCGGGACCGACAGCAACAUGAAGGCCAGGCUGAAGACUUUGCCGGAUUAGCUGAGAGGUGGUGCAUGGCCGUCGUCAGUUCGUACUGUGAAAGCAUCCUGUUAAGUCAGGCAACGAGCGAGACCCACGCCCACAGUUGCCAGCGUACUCUCCGGAGUGACGGGUACACUGUGGGGACCGCCGCUGCUAAAGCGGAGGAAGGAAUGGGCAACGGUAGGUCAGUAUGCCCCGAAUAUCCCGGGCUACACGCGAGCUACAAUGGUUGGUACAAUGGGUAUCUACCCCGAAACGGGGUAUGGAAAUCUCCUAAAGCCAAUCUUAGUUCGGAUUGAGGGGCUGCAACUCGCCCUC
rnacentral:rRNA from 1 species